CAAUAAAUUCUAGGGCGGGGCUGUUGUGGGUCUUGAAAUCAAAAGAGAAUUUUUAAACCUGUUCAUUAGGAACAAUUGGAGGGCAAGUUUGGUGCCAGCAGCCGCGGUAAUUCCAGCUCCAAUAGCGUAUAUUAAAGUUGUUGCAGUUAAAAAGCUCGUAGUUGAAACUUGGGUCUGGCUGGCAGGUCCGCCUCACCGCGUGUACUUGUCCGGCCGGGCCUUCCUUCUGGAGAACCUCAUGCCCUUCACUGGGCGUGUUGGGGACCAGGACUUUUACUUUGAAAAAAUUAGAGUGUUCAAAGCAGGCCUUUGCUCGAAUACGUUAGCAUGGAAUAAUAGAAUAGGACGUGCGGUUCUAUUUUGUUGGUUUCUAGGACCGCCGUAAUGAUUAAUAGGGACAGUCGGGGGCAUCAGUAUUCAAUUGUCAGAGGUGAAAUUCUUGGAUUUAUUGAAGACUAACUACUGCGAAAGCAUUUGCCAAGGAUGUUUUCAUUAAUCAGUGAACGAAAGUUAGGGGAUCGAAGACGAUCAGAUACCGUCG
rnacentral:rRNA from 1 species